GUCCAGAUAUUUUAUAUCAUCCAAACAGACCACACUCAGGCUCAGAGCUUCUGCCUGAAACUGUGAGCAACAAAAGUUGAGUGAUAGGUAGUAAGUGACAAAACCAGCUGACCAAUCAUGCCAUAAGAAUACAAGGUCAUAGUAAAAUGGGAAGCUAGACUACAAUAGUGAGUUUAAGAAAAUAGGCAAUUACACAGUAACAGUGGGAGUUUUGCUAUUUCAGAAUCAAUCACCUGCGCUGGUCUUACUCCAGAAUGUGCAACUGAA
rnacentral:misc_RNA from 1 species